CUGACAUGGAUACUCCCAAGAGGUCAUUCUCCUUGGACUCUGUCUAGGUGGUAUGGAGGAGCUCAGGGUUCUGCCCCAUGUUGUACAGGCCUUUUCCACAACGUUGGAGAUCAAGCCAGACCUUGAGUCUGUGCCUGCGCCUUCUACAGCUUCUCAGAUUUCUGUGAGCAAUGACUGUGAGCAAAGAGACACAGCACGCGGGAAAGAGUC
rnacentral:snoRNA from 1 species